rnacentral:lncRNA from 10 species
UUGACCAGCUUUGCUUUGGAAGGCCAAGUCUCACGGGGAUGUCCACUCAUUCAUCGUGAUGGCACCAGUGACGACUCUCGAACUUAGGAGCAGAAAAAGAAGGAAUGGCCAUGUGACUUAUGUCCAUGGAAAACCUGUUCUUGAGCGUUUUUCCAGACUGUGAUUGGCUGUGGAUAACAAACUGCGGAAUGCGAAACUGUUGAUAAGGGUGGACUACUGUAACUCUGGACAAUUUCCUCAACUCUGCCCAAUAUCAAAGGAAGGCUCUUCAGGCUCCAAGCAUUGUCAGUGAUGUGCUACAAAGAGGAACAACUAAGCUGACACAGAUAUGAAGGCAGCAAUGACACUGAACUGCCAGAAUAGUGAUCCUCAAAGGUGGACAGGUGUCACACCUGAAUCCCUGGGGGUCAGGACCAAUCAACUUCCCCGCCUACCCCAACCGUGGCCACUCUUUCUAGUCAUAGUUUAUCUUAUGCCUCAGGGGCAGUAAUGGGGUUAAGAAAUGGUAGAAAGUAUGUACCCAAAUUCUCAAUCACAUUUGAUUGUUCACUAGAACUUUUUCUAAGAAGACUAAAUGGUGAGAACGGGGGGAUGGCCCUCCAGGAAAAUUCAGGUAGGUGUCAUAAUAUUUAAUGAAAGAGGCAUUUCCUUUUUUAAUCCUUUGUAGGGUCAGAAAAGAAAAAAAUUCAAGAUAUGCAAAGGAAGCCAGAUCAAAAUCCCCUUGGCCAUGGAUACUGGUGCCCUACAUCAGCACCCUUCAAGAGUGUGGAUGAGGCUGAGUAGGUGGGAACCUGCAUCCCUUGAAAGAAGCAGGCAAGGACAGGGUAGUGACAAGUGCUGGUCACUUGUGAGGGCUGCCUCCCCAUCCAGUUCCCUCUGCAGCCAGGAGCAGGAGUUGUUUCUGGCUCAAGCCAGCCCCCAUGGCCGCCAUUCCCUUAUAUGACCCUGCUUCGCAGGGUAACGUACCAGACAGUUUCACGCUCGUUAUCCUUGCAACGGAUUACUCGGUGAGGAGCAUCAGAGAACUGAAAAGACAGACUGACUUCGACUUGAAUCCUGGCUCUUCCUCUUACUAGUUUCAUGGCCUUGGCUGCCUCUGGGAUCAAGGGAAAGGAGAACUCAGUACCCUGAGGUGCACAAAAGGCACUGCACAAGAAGGCCCACAUUGACGUGCAGAAGGAAGUGAAGAGGAAGGAGUGAUACAUUCUGAAAUGGUUGAAGAGCCGAAAAAAGGCAAAGCAUUGAGGAAAGUGAGAACUGAGGAAAAGGGCACUGGAUUUGAUGACUCACUACUCUCCUUUAGUGAACUUUAAUAGAAGAGUUUCAGUAGAGUAAUAGAAACCAAAAUUGCAACCAGUUCAACGAGUAGGAGGCAAAGAAAUGCCAGUGAACAUAGAUUAUGCUUGAAAUGAAUGCAAGAGAUGAGACAGCUGACUUCAGAAAGCAGCGGAUUCAACAGAAGAUUGUUUAAUUGGCUGACAAUUUUUAUGAUAAGAAAGACCAGAAAAGGUCUAUAGGCUAAUGGGGGAGAGGAUAGUGGGAAAAGAUUGUAGAGGUUUGGGAGGUUUUUGUCCUCAGAUAGGAGGAAAGAGAGAAGGUACAUGGCACCUAAUACAUACUCAAUACGUAUUUGUUGAAUUAAAAAGGAUCUAGUUUGGAGGAUGCUAACUCUUAUGGGGAGUAAUAGUAUAAUAAUUAAGUCAAAUCUUAGCAAGAGGUGGUUCCUGGAAGAACUCAGGUCUCAUUUGAAGGGAUCCCAAGAUCCCUUGAGCCAGGCACUUCUCCCCAUGCAGGAAUAUAGAGCCAUUGAUACCAGAGAUUCUGAUGGCAAAAAGCUGGAUUUUUGUGGGAGAUUUCUUUAUUUUUAAACUUUGACAACUGUUUUAAACAACGUUAAUCCAACAAAAUAGCCAAUAUUCAGUCAAUUGGCAACCACUUGGUAACUUGUAUUUUAGCACAUAUUUCUCUAGAUCAUACUUGCUUGAAUGGCAUUUAACAGUUUUAUUGAUAUAUAAUUUACAAAUACAAUUCACCCAUUUAAAGUGUACAAUUCAACUGCUUUUAGAAAUUUCCAGAUAUGUGUAACCAUCACCACAGAGCAUUUAAAAAAUUUUCAUCACCUCAAAAAGAAACCUGGGGGUUCUUUAGCUAUCACUCCCCUAUUUCCUCACUCCCCCAACCCCAAGCAACCACUAACCUACGUUCUCUAUACAUUUGCUUAUUCUGUAUUUUAUUUGAAUGAAAUUGUGUAAAAUGUAGUCUUCUGUGACUGGCAUAUUUCACUUAGGGGAUAGGUUUUUUUUUGUUUUUGUUUUCAAGUAAAGAAGUGAGAAUGUGAAAAAUUUGGAGGGAUUUUAAUCUCAGUGAAAGGGAAGGCCAGGGGGUCUCAUCACAGGAGAAGAGGAGAGGAAAAGGGAGAGGGGAA